CUUCAGCGACCCCAGCCACAGCGGAUCGCCGCUCCGGCCCCGGCCGUACGUGGCCAGCAGCGCGUCCGCCUC
rnacentral:antisense_RNA from 1 species